CAUUAUAUAAGGGUAUCCAAGGGAUACAAUACAAUAUAUAGUAUAUGCAUACAGGGCUACGUAUAUUUUGCUGACACCGAUGUGUCGCCAACGACAAGUUCACAUCAGGCUACUUCAAGCAUGGGCUCUCUCUCGAGCAAGCUACAACGCAACACUCCAUGGCAGCGACGACGGCCCCCAGCGAAGCUCCAGGCAGCAUGGCGCGGCACGCCAAAACUUCAUCGUAACACCAACGAACUCCACGGCGAUGCUUCAUUGUAGCUCCAUGGCAACACGUCGUGGCACGACAAAGCUUCAUGGCAGCAACAACGGGCCCCCCGAUGAUGAUUCAUUGUAGCUCCAUGAAAGCAACGCGUGGAGUGACAAAGCUCCAUUGCAGCUCCAUGGCGGCACCAUGCGGCGAGGCAAAACUCAAUCGCAACAACGACGGACACCCGACGAAGCUUCAUUGCAAUUCCACUCUCGUUGCAUUGUAACAUCCACUACCGACGAGGACGAAGAACUCUGCGGUUGCAACGUCGACCGCGGAUUUGCAGCAGCACGAACAUGCCUUGAGAUGCUGCGGAGGAGAGAAGUGAGAGGAAGUGAGAAAAGACACUUGUAGCAGUAGCGGUGCGAUGGUGGCGUUCUUGCAGUAGCAGCAGCAGCGUGCGACGAGUGGUUGCCGGCCACCCUGCAAAAGAAAAGGACCGAAUAGGAGAAGAAGAGGUAGGAGAUGAACAAUGGAAGAGAAUGAGUGGUUGCGCGUGACCGGUCGGAGGUGAGAGAGAACGUUAUCCUAGAAAGAAGAUAAGGGAGAAC
rnacentral:lncRNA from 1 species